rnacentral:rRNA from 1 species
GAUGAACGCUGGCGGCGUGCCUAAUACAUGCAAGUCGAGCGAACAGACGAGGAGCUUGCUCCUCUGACGUUAGCGGCGGACGGGUGAGUAACACGUGGAUAACCUACCUAUAAGACUGGGAUAACUUCGGGAAACCGGAGCUAAUACCGGAUAAUAUAUUGAACCGCAUGGUUCAAUAGUGAAAGACGGUUUUGCUGUCACUUAUAGAUGGAUCCGCGCCGCAUUAGCUAGUUGGUAAGGUAACGGCCUACCAAGGCGACGAUGCGUAGCCGACCUGAGAGGGUGAUCGGCCACACUGGAACUGAGACACGGUCCAGACUCCUACGGGAGGCAGCAGUAGGGAAUCUUCCGCAAUGGGCGAAAGCCUGACGGAGCAACGCCGCGUGAGUGAUGAAGGUCUUCGGAUCGUAAAACUCUGUUAUUAGGGAAGAACAAGUGUGUAAGUAACUAUGCACGUCUUGACGGUACCUAAUCAGAAAGCCACGGCUAACUACGUG